UACGUAGGUGGCAAGCGUUGUCCGGAAUUAUUGGGCGUAAAGCGCGCGCAGGCGGUCUCUUAAGUCUGAUGUGAAAGCCCCCGGCUCAACCGGGGAGGGUCAUUGGAAACUGGGAGACUUGAGUGCAGGAGAGGGAAGUGGAAUUCCAUGUGUAGCGGUGAAAUGCGUAGAGAUAUGGAGGAACACCAGUGGCGAAGGCGGCUUCCUGGCCUGUAACUGACGCUGAGGCGCGAAAGCGUGGGGAGCAAACAGG
rnacentral:rRNA from 1 species